GGCGCCCGCAGCCUUGGGCCUGGGAGAGGCAAAAGGCCUGCUGGCACCUCUGGCCUGACCGUACCCAGAGACUGGAUCACAUGCUCCUGCUCCAUGCCUGCCUCCCCAGCGGAAUGGAAGCAAUUCCUCCUUGGACCCUAUGAUAGGCUGCAGAGGGGCACGGCUCAGUGAGCAUUUGUUGAGUGCCUGACUGACUACCCUGCUGAAUGAAUAAGUGAAUGAAUGAAUGACCACACCUGUCUGGAAAGCUCCUGAGGGCAAAGCCUGGGCCUCAUCCUCUUGUGGAUCCAGGAGAGCAGUCGCUGAAGAGAAAGAGGAAGAAAAGGAGUGGCUAGAAAAGAAAGUUUAUUUCCACUGCAGGAAGCACUGCCUCCCAUCUGAGAAAUGUCCCAAGCAGGAAUCAGUGCUGCGAUGAACUUAUGAGUGAAUGCAUCAAAAAGACCAAGUUGAACUUAUGAGCGAAUGCAUCAAAAAGACCAAGACUUGAUCCCUUGCCCACAAAGAUACAAGGCUGAGGACAAAGCCAUGAAGGAAAAGCCUCACUGAAGAAGAGGAACCUAAGAGAAGCAGGUUCUGCUCUGAUGAACUCCCAUAAAGGCAUUCCCAUAAAGGUGUGGGCCUGAGUGAUAAUCUAGAUAUGGUACAGUUGACAUCAGGUAUAUGGCGGCAGCCAGAAAUUCAACUUUGUCCAUCAGCUCUCUGCACAACAGGAAAGAUGGUGACCUUCCAGGCUUAUCUGAGGUCCAAGAGUAACAUCACAAACACAGUAACUACACCCAGCCAAAGAAAAGCAUACCUGAAUCCAAGAGAGUAUUUACACUGGCUUCAGGGAUGAGGAAAUAAAGGAGUAAGUGAUUAGGA
rnacentral:lncRNA from 10 species